rnacentral:rRNA from 1 species
UACAGAGGUCCCGAGCGUUGUUCGGAUUCACUGGGCGUAAAGGGUGCGUAGGUGGCCUGAAAAGUUUGAUGUGAAAGCUCAGGGCUUAACCCUGAAAUGGCAUUGAAUACUGUCGGGCUGGAGGUUUGGAGGGGGGACUGGAAUUCUUGGUGUAGCAGUGAAAUGCGUAGAUAUCAAGAGGAACACCAGUGGCGAAGGCGGCCGGCUGGACCUGGCCUGACGCUGAGGCACGAAGGCGUGGGGAGCGAACGGG